CGUGCCAGCAGCCGCGGUAAUACGGAAGGUUCGGGCGUUAUCCGGAUUUAUUGGGUUUAAAGGGAGCGUAGGCCGGAGAUUAAGUGUGUUGUGAAAUGUAGACGCUCAACGUCUGACUUGCAGCGCAUACUGGUUUCCUUGAGUACGCACAACGUUGGCGGAAUUCGUCGUGUAGCGGUGAAAUGCUUAGAUAUGACGAAGAACUCCGAUUGCGAAGGCAGCUGACGGGAGCGCAACUGACGCUGAAGCUCGAAGGUGCGGGUAUCGAACAGGAUUAGAUACCCUGGUAGUCCGCACAGUAAACGAUGGAUGCCCGCUGUUGGUACCUAGUAUCAGCGGCUAAGCGAAAGCAUUAAGCAUCCCACCUGGGGAGUACGCCGGCAACGGUGAAACUCAAAGGAAUUGACGGGGGCCCGCACAAGCGGAGGAACAUGUGGUUUAAUUCGAUGAUACGCGAGGAACCUUACCCGGGCUUGAA
rnacentral:rRNA from 1 species